AGAUUGAAGCAGCUUCAUCUCAUUCCUGGUUCAUCCUGAUUCCCUCAGUGGCUUGCUCCUGCAUUAGUAAUGUAAAACUGGCCCAAAAGGGUUUAAAAUUGUCAGAAGUUGAUCUUGAUCAGUUCAAAUAUUUUUUGACAAAGAAAAUCAGUUCUGGUCAGUUCAAAUCUAUUUUGACCAGUUUAAACCAAUUCUGCAGAACUCGAGCCUGUGGUCGGUAAACCCAGGAAGAUGGCUGAAGACUAUGCUGAUUCAAGCCAAAGCAAGGAAUCAGAGAAAGGUAAGAUUCAUUAAGACUUGGGUGAAAAGAGUUAACAUGGGCAGAAUCCUGGAAGACUUCAAGAAGAAGGUGGAAUUCAAACGGAGUCCUGAAGAAUAGGUAAGGUUUUUCUAGGGGAAAAAUAUAGGUUAGAUCAUAACCUUUUUAGUUUCUACAUGUCAAUGAUACUACCCUAG
rnacentral:lncRNA from 1 species